GCCAUAAGGGAAGACUACCAUGCAAGUCGAACGGUAGCACAGAGAGCUUGCUCUCGGGUGACGAGUGGCGGACGGGUGAGUAAUGUCUGGGAAACUGCCCGAUGGAGGGGGAUAACUACUGGAAACGGUAGCUAAUACCGCAUAAUGUCGCAAGACCAAAGAGGGGGACCUUCGGGCCUCUUGCCAUCGGAUGUGCCCAGAUGGGAUUAGCUAGUAGGUGGGGUAACGGCUCACCUAGGCGACGAUCCCUAGCUGGUCUGAGAGGAUGACCAGCCACACUGGAACUGAGACACGGUCCAGACUCCUACGGGAGGCAGCAGUGGGGAAUAUUGCACAAUGGGCGCAAGCCUGAUGCAGCCAUGCCGCGUGUAUGAAGAAGGCCUUCGGGUUGUAAAGUACUUUCAGCGAGGAGGAAGGCGUUGUGGUUAAUAACCACAGCGAUUGACGUUACUCGCAGAAGAAGCACCGGCUAACUCCGUGCGAGCGGCCGCGGUAAUACGGAGGGUGCAAGCGUUAAUCGGAAUUACUGGGCGUAAAGCGCACGCAGGCGGUCUGUCAAGUCGGAUGUGAAAUCCCCGGGCUCAACCUGGGAACUGCAUCCGAAACUGGCAGGCUAGAGUCUUGUAGAGGGGGGUAGAAUUCCAGGUGUAGCGGUGAAAUGCGUAGAGAUCUGGAGGAAUACCGGUGGCGAAGGCGGCCCCCUGGACAAAGACUGACGCUCAGGUGCGAAAGCGUGGGGAGCAAACAGGAUUAGAUACCCUGGUAGUCCACGCCGUAAACGAUGUCGACUUGGAGGUUGUGCCCUUGAGGCGUGGCUUCCGGAGCUAACGCGUUAAGUCGACCGCCUGGGGAGUACGGCCGCAAGGGUUAAAACUCAAAUGAAUUGACGGGGGCCCGCACAAGCGGGUGGGAGCAUGUGGUUUAAUUUCGAUGCAACGCGAAGAGCCUUUACCCUACUCUUUGACAUCCAGAAGAACUUAGCAGAAGAUGCUUUGGUGCCUUCCGGAACUCUGGAGACAGGUGCUGCAAUGGCUGAUCGUCCAGCUCGUGUUGUGAAUGGUAUUGGUUAAGUUC
rnacentral:rRNA from 1 species